CCACCCCGUCCUUGGGAUUUUGCCGCGCGGCGCCUCGUCUCGCCGGCCCGGCGACCACAGGCAGGCAGUCCACGGCCAGGAUGGCGGCGUGCCCCGCCGCGACCACGUACACGCACGGCACUCCGCGCCUCCCCUCCCUCUCCUGCGGUUCCUAACAGACGCACUCGUUGUCGUCGGCGUCCCCGGAGUUGGCGCAGGAGGGGCUGGCCGACGUCCCCCGUCGACGUCCUCCUCCCUCUUGUCCUGCGUGAUCUGGAGGGGGAUGGAGCGGGCGGCCAUCAUCUGAGGCUAGGCCACGUCGGACCGGGAGGGGACCAUGGCGCCGCCCCAUCGCGGUCGUCCUCGUUCACCUCUGCUCCAGCAGCGUUGCCUUAGGAGAUGGGGGCCAUCGACCUCGGGAACCCGCUCCUCAACCGCACCGUCGACGGCUUCCUCAAGAUCGGCGCCGUGCUGUUGCUGGGGUGUAUGUAGGCAUGGAGUAUGGAGUGGAAAGGGCCCGUGGUGACCGUGACUGGGUAAUGAUUCUCUGAAAAUGGAUCUCUCUUCAUGUUUCUUGCACUUAGCUGAACCUUAGGUGGAGGGAAAAUCUACCUGCAUGACUGCCUCCCCGUCGCAAACAUUAUUAUCUGCCUACUUAACAAUCUACAUCUUUCUUUUGUUGAGUAAGAUUUUGAGCUAAUUAGGGGUAACAACGCAUCCCGUCUCACUGAGUAUAGAAACGUUAGCCACAGGAUCUGGAUUUAUUUGUGUGGAUGUUUGUUAAGUUAACUCAUCAACUGACUCUCUCACUCUAAAAAAUGACAAAAAACUCAUAAACUGAUGGAACCGUUCCCAGAAAUAGAUAAAAAGGGGAUUUCCUUUUCUGGAUGAAGGUCCACAUGUUCGCAAAGAGGCAGAGUUAGCUUAGGUUCAGAGCGCGCCAUAUUUCAGUUAACACCUAGCCGUAUUUAGUUGUUUAUAUCAAGCACUAGCAGCUAGCUGUGUCUCAUAAAAAGCAAUCUCUGCAGAGACGCAGAGUGGCUAGAUUCAGAACCGCCUGGAUCUCGGUUAGAUACUGGCCAGAUGCUGUCUGUUGUUAUCCAGUGUUAUAGAGCAGUAUUUUUCACUCGUGUACAGUAGUGCAUACAUCAGUUUGUGUUGGUGUUGUGCAGACAAAUGUGACACGAAAUUAUCUUGGUUUCUUUGCAGGCCGGAAUGGGGCGUGGGAGAAGCUGCCGGCCGGCGGAUCUGUGUGAAAGCCACCAUUGAGAGGUACAAAAAGGCCAACAGUGACACAUCCAACUCUGGCACGGUUGCAGAAGUCAAUGCCCAGUUUGCUAUCUUAGGAGAACCUGGUGUGCUAUAUGGGGAAGCAAAGCAGCAGCCCACAACCCGACCUCUGACUCCAGAUGAAGGCACCACGACGCACCAUGAUUAUCCAUUGGAAGGUGUUGUGUGUUCUGGAAGAUGGAAGAGGAAGAAACCUAUUUUUGUUGAACUAAAUUUUCUGUAUUCUGUUUUGUUGUACGUAUCAUUUGAUAGUUUUGUAUAGGGACAAGUGAUACUAUUUUGUAGGGCUUUAUGGCCUGUGAUGUAAACAUAUUUAGUGCUGAAAUAUGAAAUUAUUUGCAAAAUUUGUC